GAUGAAGAACGAAGCGAAAUGCGAUAAGUAGUGUGAAUUGCAGAAUUCAGUGAAUCAUCGAAUCUUUGAACGCACAUUGCGCCCUUUGGUAUUCCAAAGGGCAUGUCUGUUCGAGCGUCAUUUGUACCCUCAAGCUUUGCUUGGUGUUGGGCGUCUUGUCUCUAGCUUUGCUGGAGACUCGCCUUAAAGUAAUUGGCAGCCGGCCUACUGGUUUCGGAGCGCAGCACAAGUCGCACUCUCUAUCAGCAAAGGUCUAGCAUCCAUUAAGCCUUUUUUUCAACUUUUGACCUCGGAUCAGGUAGGGAUACCCGCUGAACUUAAGCAUAUCAAUAAGCGGAGGA
rnacentral:misc_RNA from 1 species